AUGAAUUCCGUUGUUCGCGAAUCGAAUUGUUUUGUUCCUCGGUGCAAUAAUUCAUCCACUAGUGAUUCUGGAAAACUGUUCUUUCCUCUUCCACGGGAAACUUCUGCAAGGAGUAAUUGGUGUGUUACGGUAGGGCUAUCUCCCAGCUCCACACACAGCACGAGCUACUGUUGCGAGGAUCACUUUAAUCUGGAAGAAGAUGUCGAAAAUUGGGAGCAAUAUGCAACCUGGAAACAUGAAGAACUGAAGACAUUUUGUGUGAGGUUGAAGAAAGAUGCCAUUCCUCACCUCAACUUACAGGACUCUGAACCCAUCAAAUGCCAAGAAUAUCUACGGAAGACUACUGAGGACAGAUUUUCAGUCAUUGCAUCGGAUACGAAGUGUGAGGUGAAACUUCUAGACGCAUUCCAAGAGUAUAGCGCAACUGAGUUUUUGAAGAACGAAAUAUUUGCCCCGGGCCCUUCUUUUGUGGAAGAUGGCUCGUCCCCUCGUGUUGCAGCCCUAACAAAGGUCGUUAUAGACGAAACGACUUUUGCCGGCGGGGUUGAUUCAUCGGAAAAAAUUCAAGGAAUUUCAUCCAGCUCUCCUUUCGAUUUAAACAAUCGAAUUAAAACUGAAGCAGAUACGGAGGAUAAAGAUUUUGUCAACGCGUUACACACCAGUAUCGAGAUAAAAGAUGAAGAUCCUCUAGAAUGGCAAGAAUACCCAAACAUCUUUGAGACUCAUGAUUCACGACAUACGCUGAAUUAUUGUACUCGAAAUACGGCGUUUCCUAGUAAAAUCAACGCAACUAAAAUAGGAAGAAUUGAAAACAACUUCCGUUUUAACCAAUUACUUUCCAGGAUUACGGAACACAACACAAAUUCUGAACCUGGCAGAGGAACUCCGGCACGAGAAGUAAAAAAGACUAUUCUGAAUGCUACAAUAGACCAAAUUACUCAUACUACAACCAGAAAAAAUGGAAAAUGUGAUAAUCAUGGAGUUCCGGAACAGGCGAUCCAUGUUCAAUGUGAUCAAGAAGGUGCGACUCAAGAUACUGGGAGACAAUCAAAUUCCAAUCUUUGCACCGAAUCUCUUUCUAACGAAGACCAUUCGCAAGAACCCGUACACACACAUACAGGUGAGAAACCGUUCAGUUCCAGUCAUUGCUCUGCACCACUUACUGAACAAUCCAAUUUAAUGAAUCAUAUGCGAAUACCUAUCGGUGAGAACCAUUCAGAUGCAGUCAUUGCUCUGCAUCAUUUUCUGUAAAAUCCCAAGAACCAUUCAGCUGCAGUCAUUGCUCUACAUCCAUUAAUCUA
rnacentral:lncRNA from 1 species